rnacentral:rRNA from 1 species
CAGCCGCCACGGGAAUACGAAGGGGGCUAGCGUUGCUCGGAAUCACUGGGCGUAAAGGGUGCGUAGGCGGGUCUUUAAGUCAGGGGUGAAAUCCUGGAGCUCAACUCCAGAACUGCCUUUAAUACUGAAGAUCUUGAGUUCGGGAGAGGUGAGUGGAACUGCGAGUGUAGAGGUGAAAUUCGUAGAUAUUCGCAAGAACACCAGUGGCGAAGGCGGCUCACUGGCCCGAUACUGACGCUGAGGCACGAAAGCGUGGGGAGCAAACAGGAUUAGAUACCCCCGUAGUCCCUGUCUCUUAUAC